GAAAUGCGAUAAGUAAUGUGAAUUGCAGAAUUCAGUGAAUCAUCGAAUCUUUGAACGCACAUUACGCCCGCCAGUAUUCUGGCGGGCAUGCCUGUUCGAGCGUCAUUUCAACCAUCAAGCCCCCGGCUUGUGUUGGGGACCUGCGGCUGCCCGCAGGCCCUGAAAAACAGUGGCGGGCUCGCUGUCACACCGAGCGUAGUAGCAUACAUUCUCGCUCAGGGCGUGCUGCGGGUUCCGGCCGUUAAACGACCUUCAUAACCCAAGGUUGACCUCGGAUCAGGUAGGAAGACCCGCUGAACUUAAGC
rnacentral:misc_RNA from 1 species